GACGAACGCUGGCGGCGUGCCUAAUACAUGCAAGUCGAACGAGAGCGCCCGGUGCUUGCACUGGUCAAUCUAGUGGCGAACGGGCGAGUAACGCGUGGGUAACCUGCUACUCUGACGGGGAUAAUAUCGGGAAACGGCUGCUACUACUGCAUCGGUCUUCGUACGGCUUGGUUCGAAGAGGAUUAGAGGCGUACGCUUCUGCUGGUGGCUGGACCCGCGGUGCAUUAGCUAGUUGGUGAGGUAACGGCCCACCAAGGCCGUGAUGCAUAGCCGACCUGAGAGGGUGAUCAGCCACAUUGGGACUGAGACACGGCCCAGACUCCUACGGGAGGCAGCAGUAGGGAAUCUUCGGCAAUGGGCGCAAGUCUGACGGAGCAACGCCGCGUGAGUGAAGAAGGUUUUCGGAUCGUAAAGCUCUGUUGUUGGGGAAGAACAAGUGCUAGAGUAACUGUUGGCGCCUUGACGGUAUCUAACCAGAAAGCCACGGCUAACUACGUG
rnacentral:rRNA from 1 species